UACGGAGGGUGCAAACGUUGCUCGGAAUCAUUGGGCGUAAAGGGCGCGUAGGCGGCUUUAUAAGUCGGGGGUGAAAGCCUGUGGCUCAACCACAGAAUUGCCUUCGAUACUGUAGAGCUUGAGACCGGAAGAGGUAAGUGGAACUGCGAGUGUAGAGGUGAAAUUCGUAGAUAUUCGCAAGAACACCAGUGGCGAAGGCGGCUUACUGGUCCGGUUCUGACGCUGAGGCGCGAAAGCGUGGGGAGCAAACAGG
rnacentral:rRNA from 1 species